rnacentral:rRNA from 1 species
AGUCGAGCGAUCCCGUUAGCAAUAAUGGGAGAGAGGCGGAAGGGUGAGUAACACGUAGGAGACCUACCUCAUCGCAGGGAACAACGGCGCGAAAGCGCCGCUAAUACCCAGAAGGCUCGUGGAUUCGUUUCCACGAGGAGAGUGCGUGCGCAAGCGCGAGCGUGAUGAGAGGGUCCUGCGGCCCAUCAGCUCGUUGGCAGGGUAACGGCCUACCAAGGCAACGACGGGUAGGGGGUCUGAGAGGACGAUCCCCCACACUGGAACUGAAACACGGUCCAGACGCCUACGGGUGGCAGCAGGGAGGAAUAUUGGUCAAUGGACGCAGGUCUGAACCAGCAACGCCCGCGUGAAGGACGAAGCCUUCGGGUCGUAAACUUCUUUUGAGGGAGACGAGCAAGGACGGUAUCCCUCGAAUCAAGCCGCGGCUAACUACGUGCCAGCAGCCCGCGGUAAAACGUAGGUGGCGAGCGUUAUCCGGAUUCAUUGGGCCGUAAAAGUGCUUGUAGGCGGCGUCAUAAAGUUGGACGUGAAAACUCCCGGCUUAACUUGGAAGAGGCCGUCAAUACUUGUGAGGCUAGAGGGUGUCAAAAGGGAAAUAGAAUUCCUG